UUUACGUGUCAGUGAACGCACCGCCGAAGGUCCGAGCAAACAGCGGGAGGCUGAACCAGCCGGCCUUCGUCGCUCUUCCUCCUCCGCUCAGAGCGCGCGUCGGCUGCCCGCAUCACUUCCACCUGUCGGUCAAAGACCUGGACGGAGACAAGGUCCAGUGUCGCUUCGCUCGGCCGCAAAGUGGAGAAUGUUUGAACUGUGAGCAGCAUCCGUUCAUCGAGCUGGACCAGGAGAAGUGCACGUUGUUCUUCACUGGGAAGGCGGCUGCUGGUCAGUACCUCGUCUACCUGAUGGCUGAAGAUCUG